UAACAACCAAAGGACAUUGGAACGGUAAAUGCUAAUACUCAAAUAAAUCAAGUGACACAACAACCAAGAUAAUCUCUUUAUCUCCCUCCUUCAUUCUUCUUCCUCCCAACCGUGAACUCCCUAAACUAUUUUCUAUUCUCUCUUUGAAUUAACAAACGAAAUUUCUACCCUCCUACACUCACCUCAAACCAAUGAAUUAAAACGAUAGCAAUAAAAACUACCCCUACGCCGCCGAUUCAAUC
rnacentral:lncRNA from 1 species